GAUGAAGAACGCAGCGAAAUGCGAUACGUAAUGUGAAUUGCAGAAUUCAGUGAAUCAUCGAAUCUUUGAACGCAUAUUGCGCUCUCUGGUAUUCCGGAGAGCAUGCUUGUUUGAGUAUCAGUAAACACCUCAACUCUUUUUUCUUUUUUGAAAUUGGAGCUGGACUUGAGUGAUCCCAACGCUUUCUUCCAAGAAAGUGGCGGGUUGCUUGAAAUGCAGGUGCAGCUGAACUUUUCUCUGAGCUAUAAGCAUAUCUAUUUAGUCUGCCUAAAAAACAGAUUAUUACCUUUGCUGCAGCUAACAUAAAGGAGACUAGUUCUUGUGCUGACUGAUGCAGGAUUCACAGAGACAGCUUCGGCUGACUUUGUAAACUCGAUCUCAAAUCAAGUAAGACUACCCGCUGAACUUAAGCAUAUCAAAAGCGGAGGA
rnacentral:misc_RNA from 1 species